ensembl:lncRNA
GGCAACACUGAUAGAAGCAUAGGUUUUAAAUUCCAUCCUUCUUUUGCAUACAUUGCCACUGGAUCAUAACAGGUUUAUUUAAUUAGUCAAUAAUUAAAGGCUUUAUUUCAUACAAGUGUACAGAAGUUGCUUAGAAAUAAGUUUAAACUCAACAGAUUGACACUGAAACCACACUGAACAAAGAGCCUUUAAAAAGUUAUUCUUGGAGAUUCGUCCAAAAAUCAGGUGAGGACACUUUUUCAUGGGCAGACAUUCAGGCAGCAGCAGACAUCUGAGGGGGCGGUGGGAUGGAAGUAAAGUGCAGGGAGCUGCUCGGAAAAAGUUACCUGCAAGGACACGACUCAUUCAAAUUCGGAGUGACUGACAAGCCUCCUGGAUAGGUCCCCACAGCAGAAUAUAUUAAGACAUUGUCCAAGAAUGCAGGGAAUGAAAUCAUCAGCAAAAAUGGCAGUCAGUCAAUCUGCUUGUCAUCAUCACUGAUGAAGAAGAAGAGAAGUUAUUUUUCCCAGUUGCCUCACAAAAACACUACAUGAUAUCACCAGCGUCAAAGUACAUCCUGUCAAUCAGAGAUGGUAAACUUAAAUAAUUAAGUUAUUGCUAUGGAUAUUGGUUCCAUAAUUUGAAUUCAAUUAAUUAAUUAAUUAAUUCAAUUAAUCCUUUAUCAAAUUAAAGUAUAAAAUAAGAUCUUACAGUUAUUUUACAGAAAUUCAGUUUAUAGAGGAAGGAUCCUUAUAUAUUAAGGUUUAUUUUGGAUUGGUUUAAAAUAUUUUAGAAAUUCCAUUCAUUCAUUCAUUUAUUUAUUAUUUAGUUGUCAAACGUAUCAAUUUAUCAGUUCUUAUUUAAAACAAAUGUACUACUUUUUUCACACAGCCACAACAUUACAAUGCAUCUGCAAUAAUGACUAUUUGUACUUUGUUUAUUAUUUAGAUGUCAAAGUGGAACACAUCUGAAAUAAAUAAAUAAAUAAAUGUGUAUUUGUUUAUAUU